rnacentral:lncRNA from 1 species
GUUUCAUUUUUCAAGUACAACGCUAAUUCAUCGAGUCCAUUGAGUGAAAGAAAAGGCAGGAUGAGCAACUUGUGUGUGGGGGGAGGGGGAGUCAAUGAAAAAAAUAUGUGGAUUGAGUUUUUUUUUUUAGUUUUUCAUUGAACUUUUGAUGUCGUCCCUUGAUCCAGAGGACAAAUUUCAAUUAAAUAUUUCGAUGUGAAAACUGUUAAGAUUUUAAAGUUUAAAAUUUUACUAUCAAUUGCAGAAAAAAUUAAUAGAAACCAAU